UACAGAGGGUGCGAGCGUUGUCCGGAAUCACUGGGCGUAAAGGGCGCGUAGGUGGCGCUCCAAGUCUGUGGUGAAAGCUCGAUGCUCAACAUCGAGUCGGCCAUAGAGACUGGAGGGCUCGAGCACUGUAGGGGCAGAUGGAAUUCCGGGUGUAGCGGUGGAAUGCGUAGAGAUCGGGAAGAACAUCAGUGGCGAAGGCGGCCUGCUGGGCUGUUGCUGACGCUGAGGCGCGACAGCGUGGGGAGCAAACAGG
rnacentral:rRNA from 1 species